rnacentral:rRNA from 1 species
UACGAAGGGGGCUAGCGUUGCUCCGGAAUCACUGGGCGUAAAGGGCGCGUAGGCGGCUGGGGAAGUCGGCGGUGAAAGCCCGGAGCUCAACUCCGGGUCGGCCGUCGAGACUCCUCGGCUCGAGCUCACUAGAGGCAGAUGGAAUUCCGGGUGUAGCGGUGGAAUGCGUAGAGAUCCGGAAGAACACCGGUGGCGAAGGCGGUCUGCUGGGGUGAGGCUGACGGCUGAUGCGCGACAGCGUGGGGGAGCAAACAGG